UGGGGAAUAUUGCACAAUGGGGGAAACCCUGAUGCAGCGACGCCGCGUGAAGGAAGAAGUAUCUCGGUAUGUAAACUUCUAUCAGCAGGGAAGAUAGUGACGGUACCUGACUAAGAAGCCCCGGCUAACUACGUGCCAGCAGCCGCGGUAAUACGUAGGGAGCAAGCGUUGUCCGGAUUUACUGGGUGUAAAGGGUGCGUAGGCGGCUUUGCAAGUCAGAUGUGAAAUCUAUGGGCUCAACCCAUAAACUGCAUUUGAAACUGUAGAGCUUGAGUGAAGUAGAGGCAGGCGGAAUUCCCCGUGUAGCGGUGAAAUGCGUAGAGAUGGGGAGGAACACCAGUGGCGAAGGCGGCCUGCUGGGCUUUAACUGACGCUGAGGCACGAAAGCGUGGGUAGCAAACAGGAUUAGAUACCCUGGUAGUCCACGCUGUAAACGAUGAUUACUAGGUGUGGGGGGUCUGACCCCUUCCGUGCCGGAGUUAACACAAUAAGUAAUCCACCUGGGGAGUACGGCCGCAAGGUUGAAACUCAAAGGAAUUGACGGGGGCCCGCACAAGCAGUGGAGUAUGUGGUUUAAUUCGAAGCAACGCGAAGAACCUUACCAGGUCUUGACAUCCAACUAACGAAGUAGAGAUACAUUAGGUGCCCUUCGGGGAAAGUUGAGACAGGUGGUGCAUGGUUGUCGUCAGCUCGUGUCGUGAGAUGUUGGGUUAAGUCCCGCAACGAGCGCAACCCUUGCUAUUAGUUGCUACGCAAGAGCACUCUAAUAGGACUGCCGUUGACAAAACGGAGGAAGGUGGGGACGACGUCAAAUCAUCAUGCCCCUUAUGACCUGGGCUACACACGUACUACAAUGGAUGUUAACAGAGGGAAGCAAGACAGCGAUGUGGAGCAAACCCCUAAAAACAUUCUCAGUUCAGAUUGCAGGCUGCAACCCGCCUGCAUGAAGAUGGAAUUGCUAGUAAUCGCGGAUCAGCAUGCCGCGGUGAAUACGUUCCC
rnacentral:rRNA from 1 species